rnacentral:tRNA from 1 species
AAUGAAUUGCCUGACAAAAGGAUUACCUUGAUAGGGUAAAUUAUGUAAUUAAUUAAUUAAUUAAUUCAUUA